rnacentral:rRNA from 1 species
UACGUAGGGGGCAAGCGUUGUCCGGAAUCAUUGGGCGUAAAGAGCGUGUAGGCGGCCAGAAAAGUCCGCUGUGAAAACUCGAGGCUCAACUUCGAGCUGUCGGUGGAAACUUUCUGGCUAGAGUCCGGAAGAGGAGAAUGGAAUUCCUGGGUGUAGCGGUGAAAUGCGCAGAUAUCAGGAAGAACACCCGUGGCGAAGGCGGUUCUCUGGGACGGUACUGACGCUGGAGACGCGAAAGCGUGGGGAGCGAACAGG